GACGUAGGGCACGAGCGUUGUCCGGAUUUAUUGGGCGUAAAGAGCUCGUAGGCGGCUUGUCGCGUCGACUGUGAAAACCCGCGGCUCAACUGUGGGCUUGCAGUCGAUACGGGCAGGCUGGAGUUCGGCAGGGGAGACUGGAAUUCCUGGUGUAGUGGUGAAAUGCGUAGAUAUCGGGAGGAACACCAGUGGCGAAGGCGACUACCUGGCCUGUUCUUGACGCUGAGGCGCGAAAGCUAGGGGAGCAAACGGGG
rnacentral:rRNA from 1 species